UGGGGAAUAUUGCACAAUGGGGGAAACCCUGAUGCAGCAACGCCGCGUGAGUGACGAAGGCCUUCGGGUUGUAAAACUCUGUCUUAGCUGACGAUAAUGACGGUAAGCUAGGAGGAAGCCACGGCUAACUACGUGCCAGCAGCCGCGGUAAUACGUAGGUGGCAAGCGUUGUCCGGAUUUACUGGGCGUAAAGGGAGCGUAGGCGGUUUUUUAAGUGGGAUGUGAAAUCCCCGGGCUUAACCCGGGAACCGCAUUUCAAACUGGAAGACUAGAGUGCAGGAGAGGAAAGUGGAAUUCCAAGUGUAGCGGUGAAAUGCGUAGAGAUUUGGAGGAACACCAGUGGCGAAGGCGACUUUCUGGACUGUAACUGACGCUGAGGCUCGAGAGCGUGGGGAGCAAACA
rnacentral:rRNA from 1 species